GACGAACGCUGGCGGCGUGCUUAACACAUGCAAGUCGAACGCAGUGGCGACCGGGUGAGUAACGCGUAAUCAACCUGCCCUUCAGAGGGGGACAACAGUUGGUAACGACUGCUAAUACCGCAUAACGCAGGAGGGGCUUGCGUCUGAUUAGCUAGUUGGAGGGGUAACGGCCCACCAAGGCGAUGAUCAGUAGCCGGUCUAAGAGGGUUAACGGCAACAUUGUGACUGAGACACGACCCAGACUCCUACGGGAGGCAGCAGUGGGGAGUCUUCCGCAAUGGACGAAAGUCUGACGGAGCAACGCCGCGUGGGUGAUGACGGCCGUCGGGUUGUAAAGCUCUGUUAAUCGGGACGCGGUACCGGAAUAGAAGGCCACGGCUAACUACGUGCCAGCAGCCGCGGUAAUUC
rnacentral:rRNA from 1 species